AUUGAACGCUGGCGGCAGGCCUAACACAUGCAAGUCGAGCGAGCGGCGGACGGGUGAGUAAUGUAUGGGGAUCUGCCCGACAGAGGGGGUUAACUACUGGAAACGGUGGCUAAUACCGCAUACUAUCGGAUGAAGCCAUAUGGGAUUAGCUAGUAGGUGGGGUAAAGGCUCACCGAGGCGACGAUCUGUAGCUGGUCUGAGAGGCUGAUCGACAACAAUGGGACGGAGACACGGCCCAGACUCCUACGGGAGGGAGCAGUGGGGAAUAUUGCACAAUGGGCGCAAGCCGGAUGCAGCCAUGCCGCGUGUGUGAAGAAGGCCGUCGGGUUGUAAAGCACUUUCAGAGAGGAGGCGUUACUCGCAGAAGAAGCACCGGCUAACUCCGUGCCAGCAGCCGCGGUAAUAG
rnacentral:rRNA from 1 species